GAGGAGAGGCGGCGGCGCCCGCGGCUCCGCUCCCGUCCCGUCCCGUCCCGUCCGGUGCGGUCCGGCCCGGCCCGGCGGGCGCCGCUGCCGCCAUGUUGUGCCACGGGGAGGGCCUGCUGAGCUCCCUCACGGCGCUGCUAGGGGUGGUGCUGGCGCUGAGCCGCAGCCCGGCGCUGGCCUGCCUGCUGACGGCCGGCCUGUACCUGGCGCUGCACCUCUUCAGCCUGGAGCCCGCCGCGCCCCAGAGCGCUCAGCGCGUCCUGCGGCCCCGCGGCGCCGCCGCCCGCAUCGCCCACCGCGGCGGCGCCCACGACGCGCCCGAGAACACGCUGGCGGCCAUCCGACAGGCAGCUGAGAAUGGAGCAACGGGUGUUGAGCUGGAUCUUGAAUUUACUGCAGAUGGUGUUCCCAUUCUAAUGCAUGAUGAAACAGUAGAAAGAACAACUGAUGGGUCUGGAAGAUUGCGUGACUUGACUUUUGAUGAAAUUAGGAGGCUUAAUCCAUCUGCAAAACAUAGGCUACGGAACAAAUUCCAAGGUGAAAAGGUACCAACACUGAGAGAAGCUGUUGUGGAGUCUAUGCAUCGCAAUCUUAUAAUCUACUUCGAUGUCAAAGGCCAUGCAAAUCAGGCAGUUGACGCCCUAAAACAACUCUACCUGGAAUUUCCGCGUUUGUAUAACAACAGCGUAGUCUGUUCUUUCAUGCCAGAUGUUGUUUAUAAGAUGAGACAAGCUGACAGAAAUGUUGUAACAGCACUAACACACAGGCCUUGGCAUCUGAGUCAUUUUGGAGAUGGGACACCCCGUUUCAGUUCUUCCUGGAAACAUUAUUUGUAUAUGAUGAUGGAUGUCAUUCUAGAUUGGAGCCUACACAGUUUCUUGUGGCGAUUAUGUGGGGUUUCAGCUUUCCUCAUACAGAAAAAUUUUGUUUCUCAAUCCUAAGUUUAAUCUCAAAGGGGAAGAAAACUGUUGCUUUUGCCUGUUUACAAUAAUAAAACGCAAAAAGAUGAUGUUGGUAAAGAUGACACACUAUUGUUCUUGAUGUGAUACUGAUAGAGUAUGUGAGGCACUGGUCUUCAAAAGGAAUUCAAGUGGUUGCCUGGACAGUGAACACAUUUGCAGAAAAAAGCUACUACGAAAGCGUCCUUGAAUCCAGCUACAUCACCGACAGCUUGGUGGAAGACUGUGAUCCUCAUUACUAGACCUGUGCUUUGUAGACACUCACCACCCUGAAUAAGCUAUCUUACUCGGACAGGUCUGAAUUCACCAUCGAGGGGGUAUCCACUAGUGCAGACGGGACCACUGACGAUAGUUUGGGAAAAGGAGGAGCAGUAGUUUACUUCUGCUGUACGGUCAGAUUUGGAAUGCAGAAAACCCUUCUGUUGCAACACCAGACAAAGCUGAGGUGCAGCCAUUUGCAGUCUGAGGACAUGGCACUGUAACGCAGAAAGAUCAGAUUUGACAAGCUAACUGGGCAGUACACUGUGUGUGCAGGUUGCUUUAUAAUUCUCAGACUAUUGCUUUGUUUUGUUUAAAUCUUGGUUAUAAAGUCAUAUCAGCAAUUUUUGGUGGAAAAAUUUAAAUUCAUACCUUGAUUUUAGUAAUUCAAAGAGUCUGCUCCACAACUGUAUAAUAAUUUGAGGUUGAUUUAUGGCAUCUUAAAAAUGUCUACGUUGCUGUUCUCAAAAAAGAACCUGAAAAUAAUGGUGCCAAAAUAGAGGGUGAGUGUAUUUCCCUCCCACUGCAUGGAAAGAUGGCUGUGCUGCAUCUUGACAAGGAAAAGAAAGCCAACUUUCCAUGUUCAAUGUGAAGACUAUGAGAAUUAACGAAUAAAACUUGAGCAUCUUCCUAUCUUCCAGACUUUUUAAAAGAACAAAGGGAAGAUAGAAGAUUACAUCUUCUAAUGAUACAGCACAUGAAUGUAUUUAUUUUUACAAGAAAGCUAUAUAUUAAGUGGUGGUAGUAGUAGAACAAGUAGAGCUGAAAUGUCUUUUUAUUUUACUUAUUGUUUGCAUGAUUGAAGGGCACUCACAAGGAUAUGUGGGAAACUGUAAUCCAGAUUUAACUUGAAAUCAAAAGCGCCUGUGGUUACAAUAAACAAGUAUCUGAUAGCUGA